CCGAUGGCGGACGAGGCUUCUAAGGAGCGUACGGCAUUUGCCACGCCCACAGCUCAGUAUCGAUAUGUACGAAUGCCCAUGGGUCUAAAGGGAGCAGCCGCCGUGUUCGCUACCCUGAUGCACAAGGUUCUGGGCCCACUACUAGAGGAUUCGCCUCCACCCCCUGCUUCAUUGGAUAGCCCACCGCGGGAACGGUGUGUAGUGGUUUAUCUGGAUGAUAUCCUUAUCUUCAGCCCAACACUACAAGAUCAUGUACGACAUCUUCAGCAAGUGUUCGACCUUCUCCGAAUGGCUGGUCUCAAGAUCGCAGCUAAGAAGUGCACGUUUGGCCAACAACGCGUGGUUUUCCUUGGUCAUCUACUUGACGGAGUACGUGGUGUCGUGGGACCUAACCCCACCAACGUCAUGAAAAUUGCAGAACUUCCGUCGCCAUCCAAUGUUCGCGAAGUACGAGCAUGGCUGGGAGCUGUUGGUUACUACCGGGAACUUAUCCCUGGCUUCGGCUUGAUUGCACAACCAUUGUAUGCGCUACUUAAGCAGGGGACACCCUGGUGCUGGGGUCCAAGAGAAGAAGACGCUUUUCAAGAGCUACGUAAUGCUUUGCUGGGGGAGCCUGUUCUCCGCGCACCUGGUUUCCGACGCCCGUUCUUGGUCCAAGUCGACUGGUGCCGCACUGCCGUCGCCGCGUGCCUGGCCCAGCAGGACAACAAAGGAUAUGAAUACGCCGUUCAGUUUGCUAGUAAGGCUAUGACUGGCCCACAGCUGAAUUACAGCGCGGCAGAUGGAGAGGCCUACGCUGCCUUAUGGGCAAUUAAACACUUUCACCCCUACUUGUACGGCACUCAUUUUGUACUCAUCACGGAUUCGAUGGCGGUUCGGUCUUUGCGGACUGCACGCGCUCGAGAUCUUCUGGGAAAGCUGGCUCGAUAUGCGCUCAAGCUUCAAGCCUACGACUUUUAAGUGAUGCAUAAGGCCGGACGCAAGAAUUCAAACGUGGAUGGUUUGAGCCGCUUGGGACAUCUGAUGGAGCCCCACCGUAAUUUGCCUACAGAGAUCGACCCCAGUCCGGACCCACUUGAGGAUGCCGCCAUCUUGGCAUGCUCAAUUGCAGCCGUCGCCUCCGAGGUUCAGAUCCUCAUAACUGAACAGGAAGAGGAGUGUAGCCGCGGCAUCAGACCGGAUGAGCCGUCCACAGUGGCUGUACACCAGCCUCCGGCUCUAUCGUUGCCUACACCAGAGCACAACCCCUUGCGUGAAGCAACCAGACCCCUGGUCCCGCUUGGCAAGCGACGCUUGGAUAGGUCAGCUCGUCUGACAUCUGGAGCACCAGAUGAGACACCUGNNNNNNNNNNNNNNNNNNNNNNNNNNNNNNNNNNNNNNNNNNNNNNNNNNNNNNNNNNNNNNNNNNNNNNNNNGCGGCAGCACAUUUUGAUGCGAACAUGCCAGCUGCCCUUGCCCCAGACGGCUUGGAUCAUGACGGACAUUUAGAGGAGGCUCAUUUUCGCGGGUUGGUAGCCCGUGCAGUUCGGCCAGUCAAGAGCCCUACCCCUGAGCUACGCGAGUUGCUAAGCAGCAAAGUAAACACCGACCUUCAGUACCUCGACCACCAGCAGCUGGUCACAUGUUUGACUGACAACUUUGACAUGUUCGCCUUAACCAACCGAGAGCUAGGGCUUACGUCCUGGGUGUCCAUGAAGGUGGACACAGGAGAUCAUCCUCCUAUCGUGCAGAAUCCUUACCGUCUGUCACGAACGGAGAAAGCCGCCGUUGAUGCUGAGAUGCGGCAGAUGCUACAGGACGGAAUCAUCGAACUGUCCAACAGUCCUUGGGUGUCUCCAGUAGUAGUCGUUCCCAAGAAAAACGGAGAACUCCGGCCCUGUGUGGAUAUGCGGAGGGUCAACGACGUCACUAAGGACAUCCGGUUUCCGAUAGGCCACAUCCAGGAUAUUUUGGAUAUUGCUGCACCUCCGGGUGGCGAGACUCGUUACUACUCCAGCCUGGACUUGAAGUCGGGCUACUGGCAAGUCCCGAUGGCGGACGAGGCUUCUAAGGAGCGUACGGCAUUUGCCACGCCCACAGCUCAGUAUCGAUAUGUACGAAUGCCCAUGGGUCUAAAGGGAGCAGCCGCCGUGUUCGCUACCCUGAUGCACAAGGUUCUGGGCCCACUACUAGAGGAUUCGCCUCCACCCCCUGCUUCAUUGGAUAGCCCACCGCGGGAACGGUGUGUAGUGGUUUAUCUGGAUGAUAUCCUUAUCUUCAGCCCAACACUACAAGAUCAUGUACGACAUCUUCAGCAAGUGUUCGACCUUCUCCGAAUGGCUGGUCUCAAGAUCGCAGCUAAGAAGUGCACGUUUGGCCAACAACGCGUGGUUUUCCUUGGUCAUCUACUUGACGGAGUACGUGGUGUCGUGGGACCUAACCCCACCAACGUCAUGAAAAUUGCAGAACUUCCGUCGCCAUCCAAUGUUUGCGAAGUACGAGCUUGGCUGGGAGCUGUUGGUUACUACCGGGAACUUAUCCCUGGCUUCGGCUUGAUUGCACAACCAUUGUAUGCGCUACUUAAGCAGGGGACACCCUGGUGCUGGGGUCCAAGAGAAGAAGACGCUUUUCAAGAGCUACAUAAUACUUUGCUGCGGGAGCCUGUUCUCCGCGCACCUGAUUUCCGACGGCCGUUCUUGGUCCAAGUCGACUGGUGCCGCACUGCCGUCGCUGCGUGCCUGGCCCAGCAGGACAACAAAGGAUAUGAACACGCCGUUCAGUUUGCUAGUAAGGCUAUGACUGGCUCACAGCUGAAUUACAGCGCGGCAGAUGGAGAGGCCUACGCUGCCUUAUGGGCAAUUAAACACUUUCACCCCUACUUGUACGGCACUCAUUUUGU
rnacentral:lncRNA from 1 species